GUAUUGAGUUCAAUUAUAAUCUUAGAUAAAUAAUUUAGUUCAUCAUCAAGUCACACAUUAUCAUCAAAUAAAGUUUAAACAUUAAAAAUAAAAACAAGAAAAUAAGAGAAUAAAAAAAAGAUAGAAAAACUCAAAAAUUGUAAGCUUGAUCUCCAAAUCUCCUUGAAUCCUUCAAAUUCUUCUCAACUUCAAUGACUUUGUGGCUUGAAUUUUAUCUUUCAAUCCAAUGUUUCGUUAUAUCCAAAAAGUCCUUCAAAAUGUUGUUUUAUAGGGCUUUGAAG
rnacentral:lncRNA from 1 species